AAGGAGUUAGUUAAAAUAUAACAUUAGAGUGUCAGUCUAAAAUAACUAAAAAUUAGUACACCUUG
rnacentral:tRNA from 1 species